AGAACCACUACAACAACAACAAAAAUGACGACAAAAUCCACAACAACCACCACAACGACAAUGACGACAACAUCCACAACAUCCACAACAACAACAACAACAACAACAACAACAACAAAAACAACAAUGAUGAUAGAUGACAACAACAACAACGACGAGAAUAACGACAAUAUCGACAACAACAACAACAACAACAAAGAUAACAGAGACAAC
rnacentral:lncRNA from 1 species